rnacentral:rRNA from 1 species
UACGAACCGUACAAACGUUAUUCGGAAUUACUGGGCUUAAAGGGUGCGUAGGCGGUGCGGAAAGUUGGGUGUGAAAUCCCUCGGCUUAACCGAGGAAUUGCGCUCAAAACUACCGUGCUCGAGGGAGAUAGAGGAAUGCGGAACUUACGGUGGAGCGGUGAAAUGCGUUGAUAUCGUAGGGAACACCGGUGGCGAAAGCGGCAUUCUGGAUCUCUUCUGACGCUGAUGCACGAAAGCUAGGGUAGCAAACGGG